AAUGGCAGAAAUAACUAUAUCAAAAUAUAAAGGUGAAGAUGCUUUUCAAAAGAAAACAAAAUACUUUGCUUUAUCAAAAUCAACGGACGGAAAUCAAGAGCCAAUCAGAAAAAAAUCUUUUAGGAUUCCCUUAUCCUUUCAUGUCUAUAUAAGACCCUGUAUUUUCACAUGAAGAGCACCAGAUAAAUUACGAUACACUAAAUUUUCUUGAAUGCUCUAUCUGUAAACAUUAUGCAAUAUGUUAUGGAAUAAAGCUUUAUCUUUUGAUGAGCAUGGAAAGUACAACCCACGUUGUGGAUUUGAAGAAGGAGUUAGUGAAAGAUGUACACAGAAUCGCCAGACUGGGUGUGCGGUUAGUUGACUCUACUAGUAGGGGUGUUUAAGUUCAUCCUAGUUCAGAAUCGUGCUUGUUAGGUGAAGUCAUGAAGGGUCACCAUCUUGAUCAUGUUUUGAUGUAGUUAAAGGACUCAGUACGGAUUAAGAUGUAUGAGUCGUUUAAUUGGGUGUUGGCUACAUACAUAGGUACAACGACGGGCUCUGUUUACCAGAUGUGGAUGAUUGGCAGACAAGGAUCAUUCCAGAGGCCCAUGGUUCCAUAUAUUCCAUACAUCAAGGUUCUACAAAGAUGCUUCAUGAUCUUAAGAAGAUCUAUGGGUGGGAUGGAAUGAAGAAGGACAUUGCAGAAUAUGUGGCCAAGUGUCCUAAUUGUGAACAUGUUAAGGCAGAACAUCUUAAGCAUGGAGGUCUUGCUCAUAUUAUUAAGGUUACAACUUGGAAGUGGGAGUCCAUUUAUAUGGACUUCGUGGUUGGUCUUCCGAAUACUAGGAGACAUCAUGAGUCAAUAUGGGUUAUUGUGGACAGGAUUACUAACUUUGCCGACUUUAUCCCUCUAAAGUCUACUUAAAGAGCAGAGGAUUAUGCGAGACUCUACAUUGAUGAGAUUUUGAGAUAGCAUGGGAUUCCUUUGUCUAUCAUUUCAGAUAGAGGAGCUCAGUUCACUUCAUAUUUCAGGAGAUCCUUUAAGAAGAGCUUAGGAACACAGGUGAAGCUUAGUACUGCCUUUUAUCCUCAAAAUGAUUGACAGGCAGAGCGCAUAAUUUACACAUUGAAGGAUAUGUUGAGGGCGUGUCUAAUUGACUUCAGGGGUAGCUGGGACGACCAUCUUGCAUUUGAUAGAGUACUCGCAUAAUAAUAGUUGUCACUCCAUCAUUGGGAUGGAACCAGUUUAGGCACUGUAUGAUAGUAGGUUUAGGUCUCCAAUUGGGUGGUUCGAGGUUGGAGACUCGUCCAUUAUUGGUCCAGAGAUAAUUUAUCAGGCUUUAGAGAAGGUCACGGUUAAUAGCGACAAGUUUUAGUACUACUUACUAUCGAUAGAUGUAAUAUGCAAACAACAGAAAACUGCCCUUAGAGUUUGAUGUUGGUGAACAUGUCUUUUUGAAGAUAUAAUAUAUGAAGGGGGUGAUGAGGUUUAGCGGGAAGGGGAAGUUGAGUCCGAGGUAUGUUGGUCCAUAUGAGAUCCUACAGCGUUGGGGUGAGGUGGACUAUGAGUUGGCAUUGCCUGCGGAGCUAGCUUCUGUUAAUUAUGUUUUUCAUAUCUCUAUAUUAAAGAUGUUCCUAAGUGAUCUAGCACCGAUUCUACCUGUUGAAGGUUUGGGGGUCGAUGAACUUGUCCCAUGAGGAGGCACCAAUUGAGAUUUUAGAAAGACGGUCAAGCGGCUAAGGAACAAGGAUAUUGUCACAGUGAACGUAUUGUGGAAGAACCAUCUUGAUGAUGUUCUAUGUGGGAGGCCGAGGCCAAUAUGAGAUACCGCUACUCUCAUCUUUUAAGCUCUUGAGGUGAAGGCAUAGGUGGAUGUUAGAGUUUACAUAUCGAUGCUGAAGCUAUCCGGAAUAUUAAUGUGAACUUGAACGUCAACAUCAACAUGAACGUAUGAGUCAACGAGAAUAUUAAUGUGAACGUGAACGUCAACAUCAAUGUGAACUUGAAUGUUAAUGCCAACAUUAAUGUGAAAGUCUAUGUCAACGUUAGUAAAAACAUUAACGUGAAUGUCAAUUUCAACUCA